rnacentral:rRNA from 1 species
GUGAGGAAUAUUGGUCAAUGGACGGAAGUCUGAACCAGCCAUGCCGCGUGCAGGAAUAAGGUCCUAUGGAUUGUAAACUGCUUUUAUUCGGGAAUAAACCUCUUUACGUGUAGGGAGCUGAAGGUACCGAAGGAAUAAGCACCGGCUAACUCCGUGCCAGCAGCCGCGGUAAUACGGAGGGUGCAAGCGUUAUCCGGAAUCAUUGGGUUUAAAGGGUCCGCAGGCGGGCUAUCAAGUCAGAGGUGAAAUCCCACAGCUUAACUGUGGAACUGCCUUUGAAACUGAUGGUCUUGAAUUAAGUGGGCGUUGGCGGAAUAUGACAUGUAGCGGUGAAAUGCAUAGAUAUGUCAUGGAACACCGAAAGCGAAGGCAGCUAACGAUACUUAUAUUGACGCUCAUGGACGAAAGCGUGGGUAGCGAACAGGAUUAGAUACCCUAGUAGUCC